CUCCUCCCACCGUAAGCCUCGCCUUUCUUGAAUUACGAUUCGGUCGCUUGGAGAUGAUGCUAUAGUCUUGUGCCGACUGGUUCUUGGCUGCGAGUUUGGCUUUCUUGAGUGGGGAAAGUAGUUUUCUACUUCUUGCACAGCUCUGUGUUCCUCUCGGUAACUGCUACUUUGUUCUCGUCCUCUGAGCACCACAUACGUUCCUACAGAAUCUCUACAGCUCCGAGUGCCUUGCUUUUGCCUUUCUAAAACCUCCGACUGUAAAGUCUAGUGCAUCGCAUCCUUUUCCUUCCCCGUCAGUAUAGCUACUGGGGCAAAUCUGAUAUUCGGCCUCACUGGCCAGGUUCUCCGUUUAGUGCUCCCUAGUUUGCUAUGGGCUGUUUCAUACGUGUUGCCUUGGUUUUACCCUCCUCCAUCCUGAUCUGAUAUUCUGCCUCACUGGCCAGGUUCUCCGUUUAGUGCUCCCUAGUUUGCUAUGGGCUGUUUAAUACGUGUUGCCUUGGUUUUACCCUCCUCCAUCCUCCUCCCGUACCUGUGGGUUAGGUACCCCUGUACUCUCAGAGGAUGUUUUUUAUGCCUGUAUCUCCAGUUCCUUGCCCCCCCACUUUUAGAAUUAUUGUAGUGAAAAUAUAUAUAACGAAUCAUUUGCCAGCUCAGCAAUUUCUGCAUGUAUAAUUCAGUAACAUUGAUUACAUUCUUCAAGUCGUGCAACCAUUCUAGCUGCACAUUUCCAAAUCAUUCCACCACCAUUAGCAUAACCUCAAUGCCCCCAAAGCAAAAACUCUCCCUCCUUCCCCUUCUUUCCACACCUGGUAACCACAAAUAAUCCUUAGUUUCUAUGUAUUUGGUUAUUUCAUAUAAAUCAGAUCAUACAAUUUGUCCUUUUGUGACUUUUCACCCAACAUGUUUUCAAGGUUCAUUCAUGUUAUGGCAUGUAUCAGGACUUCUUUUUAUGGCUGAGUAGUAUUCCAUUGCAUUUAUAUACCACAUUUGGUUUAUCCAUUCAUUUUUUGAUGGACAUUUUGUAUGUUUCUACCUUUUGGCUAUUGUGAAAAAUGCUGCAAUGAACAUUGGUGUACAGGUUUCUGCCUGUACUCUUCAUUGUUUUGACUCUAGUUUUGUGUUACAGUAUCUCCUCUUUGAAAUACUAGGGAGAAUAUGUUGCAGCAGUAUGGGACUUUUACUUGUCUAUUUUUUCAAAAAGAAAACAACUUCAAGGUAAGAAUUCCUUUUUGUUAGCUUUAUUUCAUUUAUUUAAGGGUAUGUUAUAAUUUUGUUCUAUAUUUGUGAUCCAAAACUGUUUCUAGUUAUCUGUUACAAGUGAUGGUGACAUCAUGGGGUAUAGAGGUGUAGUUUUUAAUUCACAGUGGGUAGGGGUGGGGGAAUCAUUAGUCACUUCUUUUGAGUAUAUACCUAAAGGAUUAUUGAUCAUAUGGUAACUGUAUACUCAACUUUUUGAGGAACUGCCAGACUUAUCCACAAUAGCUAUACCAUUCUACAUUUCCACCAGCAAUAGAGGAGGGUCCAGUUCUUUUUUAUAAUGUUGUGUGUAUUAUUUUCACAAACCAUGUAUUAUGAGAGAAUCCCUAUCUUUAUUCAGUCGUUUAUUCAGUGAAUAUUUAUUGAUCCCCUCUGGCCGACUUGUGCCACUCCUAAGGGCAAAGAGCCGCUGCCGGUGUGACAGGAAGAGGAGCACUGCCUUUACAUUUCACUCCUUGACAUGUUGAAAUUCACUAACCUCUUCAUUGUGUAUGAAGGCAAAUAGUUCUUGAGAGCCUCCUAUGUGUGAGAUACUAUGCAAGACAGAAGCGAUCCCUCCCUGUAUUACCUGCUACAGAAGAGAGAUAGAUGAUAAUAAUAUUUAAUAAACAGGAAAAUUACAGAUUGCUGAGGAAAACAGGGUAACAUGAGAGAGAAUAGUUUUCUCCGGAGAGACUGAUUUACUUCAGGUUUAACCUGAUGAAUAUGUGUUUGUUAAAGUUACAUCCCAUAGGUUAAACAAAUAUUUUAAAUUCAAUGUUAGUAAAGAUUUGCUGUAAAAUAAUUAAACAGAACUGAAUAAUUUGAACGGUCCCAGUCCGUUCUAUACCCCCAUGUGUAGAACAGUGUAUACUUUUCCAGAUAGUACUUCUACAUAUACACAUACCUUAAAGUUAUUUUUCAAUGGAACGUACCACACAUUCUUCUACAUUUUAUUUUUGCUCCAUGUAUAUACUUUCACUUCAGUACAUGCAGAUCUAUCUUCUUGUAAUGACUUCAUAAUAUUCCACAGGGUAAAUAUGCUUUAACUUAUUAAAUCAUUCUCUCAAAGAUGGUCAUUUAGUCAUUUCUGUUUUUUUUUAAAGUUGGAAAUAAUGCUACAAGACGUAAAUGUUUGUGAUAGCAUUACGUAGGAGAGAUUUAAGGUGCUGAGCUUAAGGGUAUCUGUAUUUUUUAUUUUGAGGUGGUAUUUGUGGAAUUGAGAUGUGUUACUAGAGAAAUCAGGAGGAAUAACUAAUGGCAGCCAAAAAAGGGAAAUACGUAACUUAGUUUUUAAGUCUCAAGUUUGGAAGGAAAUCCAUAAAGAGAGAAAGUAUUAUAAUUAAGAAGAAAUCAGAAGGAAAAAAGACUUUCAGUAUCUGAAGAAAUGGUGUAAGGAAAGAGAAAUUGCCUAUAAACAUUGCAUCAAUGAGCAAGAAUUAAAACGUGGCAAGGGAUGGGCAAUCCAAUUUAAAAUUUUAGAUUGUAGUGUGGGAGUUUUGCUGUGUCAAGAAUUGUCAAGUAUUCCAAAUAAUGAAUUUUGCUUCUUAAGUCUCAUAUUUUUCUUUUAUGUACUGGCAUUUAUAUAUCCUAUAUCAGUCUUUGUUGAUUGGCACUUUGUUGACUAAAACUCCAACAAAAUCUUCUAAAGUAUUUUGAGGAGCGGAAAGAAUUACAGUAACACUGAGGAUUUUAAAAGAUAGCUAGACACUUUCUCUGCAUAUGCUGUUAAACUAUCAGAUCCUUCUCUAAGCAUUCCACAGAAGAGAGUAAGAAAAAUUUGGCUUAUCUGUUGAGAAGGGAAGCGGAGCAUCCUUGACAAAUUUCUGGUGCUUUAUUGGAGCAAAGAAAGCCUCUGAUUUGGGGGUUCUAAUUAAAUCUUCAGACCCUCAGAUCUCAAUUUGAGAGGCUAGGCAAUGACUUCAUAAAUCUACAAACAAACAAACAAAUUUUAAUGACUUUCAAGCCGUACCCCAUGUAUAUCAACUUAUGCAAAUCACUAUUAAGUACCUGACCCUUAAUAAGUACUUUAUGGCAGUUGUAUCCCCAAGGUGUAUUUUUACGUAUGCUCAGAAAUGAUAUGUGAUAAAACUGUGUGUAAAAGAGUUUUUUUUUUUCCUCAAUAAGGCUGUGACAGGGCUUCAAAGUAGUUCGAACUGGUUCAGUUAUGGCCAAUGAAGGGAAACUGGAACAGAUCUGAAGUUUUAAAAUUUGAGUGAUCCAGUACUACGACCAGAAUAGGAAAAAUUCCAAGUCACUGCCUUCUUGUUCGGAAACCCUGGUGGCAUAGUGGUUAAGUGCUGUGGCUGCUAACCAAAAAGUUAGCAGUUCGAAUCCACCAGGCGCUCCUUGGAAACUCUAUGGGGCAGUUCUACUCUGUCCUACGGGGUCACUAUGAGUCAGAAUUGACUCGAUGGCAAUGUUUUUUUUGGGCCCUCUUGUUCUAAAUCACUGCUGCUCUAGUGAUGUUUUUCUGUCCUUUCAUCCAACGGGGACAGCCUUUUCCUGUUUUUUUCAGCCAUUCCUAUAGCAUUAUAUGAGCCUGUAGCAAUGCAGUGUUUUCAUUUUACCACACAAGCAUUCUUAGAGAUUGAGUAGAGGUGUGAUCAGGAGCAGCCUGCAACAGUACUGGGAACCACUCUUCUCCUACCUCUCAGGCCCCAAAAUCUUUUUCAGUCGGGAAUUUUUCUCUCAGUGUUGCAGUCAAAUCUUCUUUCAGCCUUGCCUCCUUUGUUCCAUACCCCUCAUUUUGAGUCAUUCCAUCAGAUAAGUAUCUAUAUCUGAACCCAACUGUGGGUAGGAAUAAAUUUUUUUCCAAUGGAACUUAAGAAUCCCAUGCAAAUUGAGAUAUUUCUAGGCAAUCAAUAUGUUUCCUGAAUAUUCUUGGAUAGGAGAUUAGGGAGGAGGGUAAAAUGUAGGAGAAAGGAGUGUGCCUAACUCUACAAAUAUGCUCUGGCCACGUAUGUUAAAAAGUAAAACCUCAUCUACGUAUAUAAAAAAAAUUCUUUUUAUUUUGUUUUAGGUGAAGGUUUACAGAGCAUACUAGAUUCUCUUAAACAAUACACAUAUUGUUUUAUGACAUUGUUUGCCAACCCCACAACAUGUCAACGCUCUCCCCUUCUCACAAACUUAGGUUCCACGUUACCAGCUUUCCUGGUCCCUCUUGCCCUCUUGUCCUUGCCCCUGGGCUGGCGUGCCCCUUUAGUUUUGUUUUGUUUUAUGGGCCUGUCUAAUCUUUGGCUGAAGGGUGAACGACAGGAGUGACUUAAUUACUGACCUAUAAGGGUGCCCUGGGGCCAUACUCUUGGGGUGUCUCUAGUUUCUGUCAGACCAGUAAGUCUGGUCUUUUUUCUUUUGUGGUAACGUUAUAUACAUUUUGACCUGACAAUCUGACAUUGGGAAUCUUUCCCAUAGGGAUUAGCAUAACAUUCUUAUAUAAGGGUCGUAAUAACAUAUAUAAAUGGAUAUUGAUUACAGCCUUGUUCAUAUUGGCAAAAAAAAUAAAUGAAUGGCCGUCAAUAGAUGAAUUGGUGAAUAGUCCACUCCAUGGGAUCUUCUACAGCCAUUAUGGAGAAUGAAUUAGAACCAUUUCAGAAGACUCAAAAUUUCAGAAGACUCAAAAGUUUCCUGAGCCGUAGUGGUGCAGUGGUAAAGAGCUCAGCUGCUAACCAGAAGGCCAGCGGUUCAAAUUCAAAUUCCGCUCCUUGGGAACCCUAUGGGGCAGUUCUACUCUGUCCUAUAGGGUCGCUAUGAGUCAGAAUCAACUCUACUGUAGCAGGUAAGACACAUAGUACUGUGGUAUUUUCAACUGCCUCCUAAACAUGCAAAACUUGACAAUGAAUAAGGAAGACCAAAGAAGAAUUGAUGCCUUUGAAUUAUGGUGUUGGCGAAGAAUAUUGAAUAUACCACGGACUGCCAGAAGAAUCGACUUGACGGCACUGGUUUGCCAGAAGAAUGAACAAAUCUGUCUUGGACGAAGUACAGCCAGAAUGCUUCUUAGAAGCGAGGAUGGGGAGACUUGGUCUUAUGUAGGUUGCUCAUUUAUGAGGAAGGCCCAGUCCCUGGAGAAGGACAUCAUUCUUGAUAAAGUAGUUGUUUUUGUUAGGUGUCGUCAAGCUGGUUCUGACUCCUAGUGACCCUGUGUACAACAGAACAAAACACUGCCCAGUCUUGCACCAUCUUCACAAUCACUGUUAUGCUAGAGCCCAUUGUUGCAGCCACUGUGCCAAUCUGUCUUGUUGAAGGUCUUCCUCUUUCUUGCUGACCCUCUACUUUACCAAGCAUGAUGUCUUUCUCCAGGGACUGAUCCCUCCUGAUAACAUGUCCAAAUUAUGUGAGACAUAGUCUUACCAUCCCUCCUUCUGAGGAGCAUUCUGGCUGUAUUUUUUUCAAGACAGAUUUAUUCGUUCUUUUGGCAGUCCAUGGUGUAUUCAAUAUUCUUUGCCAACACCACAAUUCAAAGAUGUCAAUUCUUCUUCGGUCUUCCUUACUCAUUGUCUGGCUUUCACGUGCAUAUGAUGCGAUUCAAAAUACCAUGGCUUGGGUCAGGCACACCUUAGUCUUCAAGGUGACAUCUUUGCUCUUCAGCACUUUAAGAGGUCCUUUGCAGCAGAUUUACCCAAUGCAGUGUGUCUCUUGAUUUCUUGACUGCUGCUUCCAUGGCUGUUGAUUGUGGAUCCGAGUAAAACGAAAUCCUUGACAACUUCAGUCUUUUCUCCGUUUAUCACGAUUUUGCUCAUUGGUCCAGUUGUGAGGGUUUUUGUUUUCCUUAUGUUGAGGUCCAAUCCAUACUGAAGGCUGUGGUCUUUGAUCUUCAUUAGUAAGUGCUUCAAGUCUUCUUCACCUUCAGCGAGCCAGGUUGUAUCAUCUGCAUAACGCAGGUUGUUGAUGAGUCUUCCUCUAGUCCUGAUGCUCCGUUCUUCUUCAUAUAGUCCAGCUUCUUGUAUUAUUUGCUCAGCAUACAGAAUGAAUAGGUAUGGUGAAAGAAGACAACCCUGACGCACACCUUUCCUGACUUUGAACCAAUCAGUAUCCCCUUGUUCUGUCCGAACAACUGCCUCUUUAUCUAUGUAAAGGUUCCUCAUGAGCACAAUUAGGUAUUCUGGAAUUCCCAUUCUUCACAGUGUGAUCCAUAAUUUGUCAUGAUCCACACAGUCAAAUGCGUUUGCAUAGUUAAUAAAACACAGAUUAACCUCUUUCUGGUAUUCUCUGAUUUCAGCCAUGAUCCAUCUGGCGUCAGCAAUGGUAUCCCUGGAUCCACAUCCUUUAAUGAAUCAGGCUUGAAUUCCUGGCAGUUCCCUGUCGAUAUACUGCUGCAACUGCUUCCGUGAAAUUUUACUUGCGUGUGAUAUUAAUGAUAUUGUUCGAUAAUUUCCGCAUUCAGUUGGAUCACCUCUUUGGAAUGGGCAUAAACAUGGAUCUCUUUUAGUCGAUUGGCCAGGUAACUGUCUUCCAAGUUUCUUGGCAUAGACAAGUGAGCACUUCCAGGGCUGCAUCUGUUUGUUGAAACAUCUCAGUUGAUAUUCUGUCAAUUCCUGGAGCCUUGUUUUUUGCCAAAGCCUUCAGUGCAGCUUGGAUCUCUUCCUUCAGCACCAUCAGUUCCUGGUCAUAUGCUACCUCCUAAAGUGACUGAAUGUCGACCAGUUCUUUUUGGUAUAGUGACUCUGUGUAUUCCUCCCAUCUUCUUUUGAUGGUUCCUGCUCUGUUUAAUUUUUUCUCCGUAGAAUCCUUUAAUAUUGCAACUGGUAAAGUAGGGGUCAGCGAAGAAGAAGAAAACCCUCAACAAGAUGAACUGACACAGUGGCUGCAACAAUGGGCUCAAUGAUAGCAACGGUUGUGAGGAUGGUGUGGAGCCAGGCAGUAUUUCAUUCUGCGGUACAUAAGGUCACAGUGAGUCAGAACCAGUUUGACAGUACCUAACAGCAACAGAGAAGGUACAUAGGAUAUGUACGGAGUGGUGUUACACAGUUUGAAAAAAAAACUGCACAUAAAUUAGCUUGAAAUAAGUUUACAAAAUAAUUUAAUUUUUUAAGAAUAAUAGAUUUUAAUUAAUUUUGAAGUCAAUUUAAAAUGUUUUACUGAAUUGAAAACAUGUAUUUUUUUUUUACUCUAUGAAUGGGUAAACUUAGUAAAAUUUUACUGACCAUCUAGUACUACUAGUCUCAUAAAAUACGUACAUGUUGAGAACUUGGCUGUGUUCUAGGUGUUUUCUUGUGCUUCCUACCAUGAAAUUUAAUUCUUACCCCAUCUUUGUGGAACAGGAUUAGGAUUCUUCAUUGUACAGGUCAAAAAACUGAGGUUCAGAGGUUAAGUGACUUCUCUAGUAUCUUAAUAAUUAACAAAUAUAAAAAAACUGAGGCUCAGAGAUAACUUCUUCAGUAUCUCAAUAUUAGAAGAGUCAGCAUUCAUUCUUAAAAGUACAGUUAGCUUUAUUCAGUGUUGAAGUUCAAGUCGAGAAUACAUAUAUAAUCUAAUUUUAAAAACUAUAAGUAUUAUAGCUUAUUAGAAUGUAAUUGCCAAGAGGAUAGAGCCAUCCCUUUCUCCUACUUUUAAGGCACAAAAUAAGUGGUCACUGUAUUAUUAUUAUUGUUUUAAAUAAAUAAACGAUCAUGUGUCACUCUGUCAGACUUAGCCUUUUUCCAGUACCUUUAGCUGGCUGCUUUCCUUAGCUGUUAGUGCUUACAGUGUAGUGGAGGAUAUACAUAAUUAACAAGCCAAUCAGUUACAUAAUUUUGGAUACUGAAUAAAUACUAUGAAUAAAAUAAAGUAUGGUUUAGGUGUAUAGAAUGAUGUGUAUGUGCUUGUGUGUGUCUGUGUAAGUAGAUUAUGGGUGUAUAUUCUGUGUGUAUGCAUAUAUUAUGCUGUGUGUAGGUAUAUGUUGUAUAUGUGUUGAAUGUAGUUGUGUGUAUAAUGUGCAUUGACUCCAAACUAUAAAUCUAAUGUGAAGGAGAUGUACAUGUUGAACACCUUCUACUUUCGUAUGUUAUCUCAUUUACAUCUCAGAAUAACUUUAUGAAGUCGAUAUUUUUAUUUGGAUUCUGCAGAUGAAAACACCAAGUGGGAACUUGUUUAAGGUUGCUAAGCCAUCAAGUGUUACUAAAAGUGAGAUUCAAAUUGUACCUCUCUGACUUCAGACCCCUUGGUCUUCCAGCUUUACCAGACUGCCUCCACGUAAAAUCAUAAAAGAGAAAUGGAAAGAGAAGGAGAAAGGAAAAAGGACAAUUCGAGGUAGAGCGUGGAGAAUUAAUAAUUUCUGAGACAGUGGAGUGAAUUAAAGGUUAUAGGGAAUCAUUUGCUGUUCAUUGUGGCAAGAUAACUGACUACCUAUCAGUGGAUCAAAAUGAAGCACAUAGAACAAUGCCUGGCGUAUAGUAUGUGGCAUAUGUGUUAAAGUUUUGUUAUUGUCUGGUAAAUUUAUCUGUAGGUGAAACUAAUACAAAAUAUUGACACAUGAGGUUUAUGGUUGUUAAUCAAUGCAUGAGGAAGAAAUGAAUGCACACUGUAGUCUAGCUGUGUACUGACAUGCUGGUCCUCAUCAUACAAGCAGAAAAGUAACACAAGUCAACCAAAUAUAUGGCUAACAUAGUCAAAUCGAACCUUGUAUGUUGUCCAUACAGCUAUUACAAAUACAUUUGAAACAUUUGGUUUUGAAUUAUGCAAUUGCCUCAGAAAUGACUGAGCACUCACUUAGUUAUAUUAUCAUAGAACAGUGGUUCUUAACUUUAUCGGAGCCAGUGUUCUAUUAUAGCAAGAAAAAAUAAUAGGUAAUAUGCAUAAAAUUUAACAAUAAAUAUAAAAACCAGAACUUACACAUAUUUAAAAAGCUUUUUGAAAGAAAUUAAAAUAAUCACAAUCCAAACACAUAUAUCAAAUUCACCCAGUUAAAAGACAGAGAUUGCCAGAUUAAAAAAUAAAGCAAAAACAAAAUUAGCUAUAUGCUGUGACAAGAUAUACAUAUAAAGCAUGGAAAAAGAAUAACAAGAAAAUUCCAAGUGAAAGAAAGUUUUCAUAAUAGGAAUGUCAGGCAAAAUACACUUUAAGAUUGUUAGAAGUUAUUGAUAUUAAUUAAAAAAAAAAAAAAGUUUUAAAAGGGCCCAAUUGGCUUAGGCCAGCUCAAAGCAUACGUCCAUCAGAUUAUUUUGAGCAUUAGUGACACACUUUCCUAACUUCAACCUCUGGUUAAGUUAGCUAAAAAUAUUUAUCCAUUGUAUGUUUUAGUUAAUUGGACCUGUGUUUUAAAUUCUGGACUUUAGUAUGCUGUCUAGACAAACUAAAUAUUUAGUGUUGUUAUUUUGUUGUCAGUAACAACAGGGAUACAUUUCCAUGGUAGAAAUGAAAUCACUUCUGUUUAUAAUAUUGUAGUGGAUGGAUAAUGUUUAUUCAUUAGUGAGAAAGAAAUUUUAAAAGUAGGACUCCUCAAAGAACAAUCUUUUCCUUUUUUCUUUACAAUUACCUAAGUAGGCCAAAUUAAUUAUGGUACAUGGGCAACUGAUUUACCACGCCUCCUGGAAUAGAUUGGACAUAGAAUUCUGCAUCAUGCAUUAGGGAAGGAAAAGAUCUCAGCUGUGGUAAAAGGAUUAAUGACUUUCCUUUAGGUAUGAACUUUUCCAGUUCCUUUCAACAUUUACGUUGUUGUAUAAAGACCAUUGGAAGCUGGUCAAUGAUUAAAGAAGAUGGAAGAAGAGUUGAUGGAUUUGAAUUUUGGUUAUGGUGCUGGUGAAGAAUAUUGAAUAGACCAUGGACUGCCAGAAUAAUGAACAAAUCUGUCUUAGAAGAAGUACAGCCAGAAUGUUCCUUAGAAGCAAUAAUGGCAAAACUUCAUCUCAUAUAUUUUGGACAUGUUAUCAGGAGGGACCACUCCCUGGAGAAGGACAUCACGCUUGGUGAAGUAGAGCGUCAUCGAAAAAGAGGAAAACCCUGAACGAUAUGGAUUGGCACAGCGGCUGCAACAAUGGGCUCAAACAGCAAUGAUUGUGAAGAUGGUGCAGGACUGGGCAGUGUUUCGUUCUGCUUUAUAUGGGGUCGCUAUGAGUCAGAACCCACUCGACAACACCUAACAACAGCCCCAACAUAAAGACCAUUAUCUGGUAUCAAGUUUUGACAUUAUUCCAAAUAAAUACCACAACAGUUCACUUUGGUGGGCAUAUUGUAAUGGUAAUUUUAUGGAGUAGACUGUUAAAAAUUCUCUUCCAUUAAAGAUGUUGACUUCAUUGUUGGGUAAUGCACAUGGAAUAGCAUGUCAGCAGGAAGUUAACUGCUAAACAAUUUUGAUAUUUACUUAAAUGACUUUCCUUUAGGUAUGAACUUUUCCAGUUCCUUUCAACAUUUAUGUUGUUAUAUAAAGACCAUCGGAAGCUGGGCAAUGAAUAAAGAAGACGGAAGAAGAAUUGAUGCAUUUGAAUUAUGGUCCUGGUGAAUUUAUGUAUGUUUAUCUGAAGUUGUCACUCAGCAAAUGGUUGUUGACACUGACAGAUCUUAUCAUGGCAAAUGAGAUGUCUGAAGAACUCAAGUACUUGCAUAAAAUGCUGUGCAUUUAAGAUGUGUUUUUAGACUGCAACUCAAGGAUAACACAAAAAGGAACUUGAUUAUCUUGUUUUCAAAUAAGUUUACUCAUCUGUAAAAAUGAGGAUGAUAACAUAUCACGUUCACAGAGUUACUGUAAACAUGAGAAAAUAAAUACAAAUGUUUGUUAUUUGCAUAUGUAAACUGGAGUGGGGAGUAUUUUAAUAGGUAUUUGAAGGCAGAAGAGUUAAAAAAUGAAUCCAUGUCAUAAUGAAGGUGUUUGGCUUAAAAGCUACAAUCCAGAUUCGUUUAACAGUGAGACCUAUCCAAGUAAAAAUUUUUUUUUUUUAGGGCCAUCAUAAAAACAGGUGGCUGCUUAUUUUCAGUAAUUUGAGGGACUUUGGUGGGCAAUGCACAUUCUUUCUAUUGACAUACCUUUGAAGGUCUUGAUACUGGAACUAUAAAUCAAAGUGAUAGAUUGGAUUACUGCAGCGUUGGCAGCAUCGGAGAAAAGUGUCACUACAGAUAGAGUUGCUGUUUCUCUUAAAUAAGAUGCUUGUCUUGGAGCUAGUUCUGGGGAAGAAGCCGUCUGUGUCUGGGGGAAGCAACUGAGUCAGUCUUGGCCAUUUUGUAAUAGUGUGGUGGUGUGACGGCACCAGCAAUAUAAAGACAGCAGGACUGAGGUAAUUCUAGGAGAAGGAGUGUCCUGGAGUAAUACUUCUCCAAUGUAGUGGUUAAAUUUAACCUAACAUGGAUCUCGGCGUAUGGAAUUUUGCUUUAUUAAGAAAUUUAUUAAAAUGUAGCUGUUAUAAAUGCUGAAAAACACUUCAGUGAGAAUUGAGUGACCAACUGUCCUGGUUUUCCUGGAACUGAGUGGUUUCCCAGAACAUGGGAUUUUCAGUGCUAAAAUUGGGACAGUCCUGGCUAAACUAGGACAGGUGGUCACCCUGAGAGGAAAGUAACAGAUGCACUUUUGAGUUCUCAGCUGUACAAGUUGUUCUGAGCAUACGUUAAGGAAAAAUAAAAAUGGCCUCAAGAAUGUCUUUGGUGUAUAGUUUUCUUUGAGGAGCAGGAAUGGGGGGAUUUCUGAGUAUAUUAUUGAGUAUGCCUUUUUUUUGUUAGUCCUAGAAGUUUUUCCGUGUAUUACACUCACUCUGCAUGCAUCGAAUCAAAUACAGUAGGGUCUUGUGUCAACACUUACAUCUCUUAGGAGAGUUUCUGGUGGAAGGAUUCACAAUCCCAUUCUCGGGUUGCCAGAAGGAUCAGGGAGAGGAAAAACAUGACUUACCUCGUUUGAGAAAAUCUGUGACAAUGAUAUAAUAGGAAAGUGGACAAACCCCUAUAAGAACUUGUAUAGCAGCAAUAAGUACUCAUUCUUUCCCUACAUAUAACUAACAUUUACAGCAGGGGAGCAACAGAAAAAGAAAGAGGUCCUUCUUCAGUCCAUUUACCAUAUAAAGAGAAACUACAGAGAGAAGUGGCUUUUUGGUUAGGCAACAGGAAUUCCCAGAUCAUCUUAUAGACUCAACAUUUAUUGAACACACACACAAACACAAACAUGUAAAGCUCUGUGCUUCCUGCUUGUGGAAUGUAAUUAAUGGUAAUUAAGACAAGCAGUGAGAGAGCUAUAGAUCAGGAUUCUUGACCUUGGUACUAUUGCCUUUUUAGGUUGAAUAAUUCUUUGCUGUAAAGGGCCAUCCUGUGUAGGUUUUGAGGAGCAUCUUUGUCCUCUAAACACUACACACCAAUAGCACCCUUCCUGUAGUUAUUCCUCCAGACACUGCCACAUAUCCCUUGGGGGCAGAAUCACUCUUAUUUGAGAACCACUGCUGUAGACAAUAAUAGUCCAGAGAUAUGAUAGAAGCAAAAGGGAA